AAAGCGGGCCAAGAAAGCCUCUCUUUCCAUCUUGCCCACCGGUAUAUCUUCCCAGCUGGUGUCUUUUGCUGUUGACGGGAUUUUGCUCUUAGCUAUACUUUCCAUCCUCAAAGCGCUUCUUGAGGUAGUCUGCACACUUGGAGCCACUGUUUUUGUGGGGAUCCUUCUCUUACGUGUUGUCUGGGCAGCCAGUUCCUAUCUUCAGUCAAAUGGAAGCGGUUUUAACCAGGGUGGAAACUCCUUUCGUGCCAUAUAGCCAACUAAUAACACAGUUCUUAUAUUAAUUAGAGCGCUAGCUCUUCUAGAUUUCUUCAGAGUACCACGUGAUUGUUCCGAAAAGAACUGAAUAUGGGAUUGUUGAUUCAAAUUCGUGAGAAGCAAUUAUAAUGUUUGAUCAAACUGCAUUAUAGCUCAGUAUUGAAUUUAUGUUAUGACA